UACGGGGGGGGCAAGCGUUGUUCGGAAUUACUGGGCGUAAAGGGCUCGUAGGCGGCCAACUAAGUCAGACGUGAAAUCCCUCGGCUUAACCGGGGAACUGCGUCUGAUACUGGAUGGCUUGAGAUUGGGAGAGGGAUGCGGAAUUCCAGGUGUAGCGGUGAAAUGCGUAGAUAUCAGGAGGAACACCAGCGGCGAAGGCGGCUCACUGGCCCGGUACUGACGCUGAGGUGCGAAAGCGUGGGGAGCAAACAGG
rnacentral:rRNA from 1 species